UACAGAGGGGGCAAGCGUUAUUCGGAAUUAUUGGGCGUAAAGGGCGCGUAGGCGGCCUGGCAAGUGGAAGGUGAAAUCCCUCGGCUUAACCGAGGAACUGCCCUCCAAACUGCUUGGCUUGAGUCCGGGAGAGGUGAGUGGAAUUCCCAGUGUAGCGGUGAAAUGCGUAGAUAUCAGGAGGAACACCGGUGGUGUAGACGGCUUACUGGACCACGACUGACACUGAGGCACGAAAGCGUGGGUAGCAAACAGG
rnacentral:rRNA from 1 species